GAUGAACGCUGGCGGCGUGCCUAAUACAUGCAAGUCGAGCGAACAGACGAGGAGCUUGCUCCUCUGACGUUAGCGGCGGACGGGUGAGUAACACGUGGAUAACCUACCUAUAAGACUGGGAUAACUUCGGGAAACCGGAGCUAAUACCGGAUAAUAUAUUGAACCGCAUGGUUCAAUAGUGAAAGACGGUUUUGCUGUCACUUAUAGAUGGAUCCGCGCCGCAUUAGCUAGUUGGUAAGGUAACGGCUUACCAAGGCGACGAUGCAUAGCCGACAUGAGAGGGUGAUCGGCCACACUGGAACUGAGACACGGUCCAGACUCCUACGGGAGGCAGCAGUAGGGAAUCUUCCGAAAUGGGCGAAAGCCUGACGGAGCAACGCCGCGUGAGUGAUGAAGGUCUUCGGAUCGUAAAACUCUGUUAUUAGGGAUGAACAAAUGUGUAAGUAACUGUGCACGUCUUGACGGUACCUAAUCAGAAAGCAACGGCUAACUACGUG
rnacentral:rRNA from 1 species